CCCUCUUUGGUGCCACAUAAGUAAAAAAAAGGGAUUAACCUCUUUAAAGUAUGGCAUGAAUAGCUAUACCUACAGUAGUGAUCGAUAGGAGAGAUUUUGUUGUAACUUUGUGGCGAAAGCAAAUUGUUUAUAUUAGCAAAUAGUUCUUGUGAGUGAGUCUUGCCAGAGGUUCCACCUUUUAACCUAUAGGGCCUAUAGGGCGAAACUUCUUGGAACUUCUUGGACUGCUCCAUAUUAAUUGCUAUAGGGGUAGAAAGCUUUUAAGAUAAAAGUAUAUUUCAUAUUUGUAUGUUAUCUGUUAAUUCUAGUUGUUAUCUCUUUGCAUGACUUUGCUUAGGAUAUAUAUUCAAUGUCUUAUAUUGCUAUAUAAAUGACUCACGGAUCAACAACCACAACCAACUAUUACUAUUCAGACCCCUUUCCUAUAAUAAUGGUAUAUUCGAUAUACCAACAUCCAAGAUUUUCUUGAGGCAUCUUCCUUCUUUCACUAUUACGAAGAUGGAGAGGAAGCAUCCUCGAAACAUCAGUCUUCAAUAACUUCUGUUUUUCCCUGCCCUUUCAGAUCAGGCUAAAGGUCGUCACCUCAUGACACCCCUGUCAACCUGAGACCCUCUGUAAUUUGUCAAACUCUAAUAGUUUUGUUUUAAGCCAUAGAGAUAAUAUCUCAACUUAUUGCCAUGAAGUUAAUGUAAUGUAACCAGGAGUUACAGAUUCUUGUAAAUAUAUUGUAAAUAUGCUUUGUAUUACUCAAUAAUAAAGGAACUUAUACAUUUCCUUUA